rnacentral:rRNA from 1 species
CCUACGGGUGGCAGCAGUGAGGAAUAUUGGUCAAUGGGCGGAAGCCUGAACCAGCCAAGUAGCGUGCAGGAUGACGGCCCUACGGGUUGUAAACUGCUUUUAUACGGGAAUAACGCGCCUUACGUGUAGGGCUUUGCAUGUACCGGAGGAAUAAGGACCGGCUAAUUCCGUGCCAGCAGCCGCGGUAAUACGGAAGGUCCGGGCGUUAUCCGGAUUUAUUGGGUUUAAAGGGCGGGUAGGCCGCAGGUCAAGCGCGCUGUUAAAUGUCCGGGCUCAACCCGUGCCUUGCCGCGCGAACUGGGGUGCUUGAGUCCGCGGAAAGCAGGCGGAAUUCGUCGUGUAGCGGUGAAAUGCUUAGAUAUGACGAAGAACCCCGAUUGCGAAGGCAGCUUGCUGCAGCGGAACUGACGCUGAUGCUCGAAGGCGCGGGUAUCGAACAGGAUUAGAUACCCCAGUAGUC